rnacentral:rRNA from 1 species
UCAGGAUGAACGCCGGCGGCGUGCCUAACACAUGCAAGUCGAGCGAUUCUCUUCGGAGAAGAGCGGCGGACGGGUGAGUAACGCGUGGGUAACCUGCCCUGUACACACGGAUAACAUACCGAAAGGUAUGCUAAUACGAGAUAAUAUGCUUUUAUCGCAUGGUAGAAGUAUCAAAGCUUUUGCGGUACAGGAUGGACCCGCGUCUGAUUAGCUAGUUGGUAAGGUAACGGCUUACCAAGGCGACGAUCAGUAGCCGACCUGAGAGGGUGAUCGGUCCACAUUGGAACUGAGACACGGUCCAAACUCCUACGGGAGGCAGCAGUGGGGAAUAUUGCACAAUGGGCGAAAGCCUGAUGCAGCAACGCCGCGUGAGCGAUGAAGGCCUUCGGGUCGUAAAGCUCUGUCCUCAAGGAAGAUAAUGACGGUACUUGAGGAGGAAGCCCCGGCUAACUACGUG